AACGAACGCUGGCGGAAUGCUUUACACAUGCAAGUCGAACGGCAGCACGGACUUCGGUCUGGUGGCGAGUGGCGAACGGGUGAGUAAUGCAUCGGAACGUGCCCAAUCGUGGGGGAUAACGUAGCGAAAGUUACGCUAAUACCGCAUACGAUCUAAGGAUGAAAGCGGGGGAUCGCAAGACCUCGCGCGAAUGGAGCGGCCGAUGUUAGAUUAGGUAGUUGGUGGGGUAAAGGCUCACCAAGCCGACGAUCUAUAGCUGGUCUGAGAGGAUGAUCAGCCACACUGGGACUGAGACACGGCCCAGACUCCUGCGGGAGGCAGCAGUGGGGAAUUUUGGACAAUGGGCGCAAGCCUGAUCCAGCCAUUCCGCGUGCAGGAUGAAGGCCCUCGGGUUGUAAACUGCUUUUGUACAGAACGAAAAGCUCUGGGUUAAUACCCUGGGGUCAUGACGGUACUGUAAGAAUAAGCACCGGCUAACUACGUGCCAGCCGCCGCCGUAA
rnacentral:rRNA from 1 species